GGAUGUAGCUCAGGGGUAGAGUGCAUGCCAAGCAUGCAUGAGGCCCUGGGUUCAAUUCCCAGCACUGCCA
rnacentral:tRNA from 1 species